rnacentral:tRNA from 1 species
UGGGGGCAUAGCUCAGCUGGUAGAGCACCGCCCUUUUAAGGCGAUUGUCGAAGGUUCGAGUCCUUCUGCCCUCAU